CCAAUGAAGCUGCAUUAGACAAAGAAAUUGGGAUAUAGAAUACCCAUCCUUUCCAAGAGGGAGUCCACUGAAGUUCAGAAGAGCAGGUCUCAGGACAGUGGGGGCAGCUGCUUCCCUCUCUGAAGCAUGGCUCAGAUGUGGAGAAGGAUUUCAGGACACUUCUGAGACUCUGUCAUUAACAGCUGAAAAGAAGAUUGUUACAGAAAAGCACCUCGAAUUAUCCCCU